AUCACUUCAUAUCCACAUGAAUUGAGCUUUAUUCCACAAGGAGUUUAAAAAUGGCACAAAUGAGUCCACAAAAAUAAUUUCUAUCCCAAAAUUGUUAAAUAAACACAUUAAUUAGCAUUCCAGUCUCCAAAUAGCAUACAUGGCAACUAUCUUGAAUUAAAUAACAACUCUGAUUAAUACAUACUACAACAAUACAAGUUUCCAUCUCUUUAUUAAUAAUUAACUGGUAACCAAUAGCUCAGCCAAGUGUAAAAUGGGAUGACAAUUGAGAUCUCAAGCCUCAGUAUACCCCUCCUCCAUUCCUUGUUUCCGGACCAAUCAGGCUGCAAUUAUAUCAAGCUACAGAAAAUUAAAUGUGCAACAAUGAGAAGCACUUGGAGCAUGUACCUGUCGUAUAUUAUUCACCACAGGCAAGAAGCAUGAUGCAGAAGUGGGAGAGAAUAGAGAUCUGUCAAGAAAGCCUCAAUGCAGAAUCUUCAUCCAUUGUCCAAACAAAACCAGGCAUGUCAAAUCGAGGCCCAGCCACAGUCCUAUAAAUGUAAAGCUUCUCUACAGGACAACUUUCUGGCCUUGAACCCGGAGGUCCCCUCUCAUCCAUAACUUCAACAUUGAGCCUAGGUAUCUUCUGACCUAGCAGCUUACAUGCUCCAAAACUCACUGAGCAAGAAGACAUCCAAAGGGAUCGCAUUGUCUCCAGCUUUGCAGCAUUGACCAAAAGAGCCUUGUCCCCAAAGGGGCAAUCUCGAAUCUCUAGUUUGCGAAGGUUUUCACACCCAGACAGCACAUGAUGGAGUCCCAGAUCACUAUCUCCAGCAAAUGCUACAGAUAGCAUCUCUAGCUUUUUCGCAUGAUUUCCAAUAUGCUCAAACACACGAUCAGUGAGAAGACCUGCCAUGGAAAGCCGCUGGAGGUCCUUGCAGUGUUCAACAAUGGCUCCAAAACCAUCAUCUAAUGGCUGAAGGGUUAUGUAAUCAGGGGCUCGCGGUUCAAUAAUACAAAGACGAAAGCGAGUCAUGUUUGGACGGUUCCUGGCAAUUGUUGCCAAGGCAUCAUUAGUCAUUUGACGGCAAAAGUACAAAACUGAGUGAAGCUUAGGGCAGCCCUCAGAAACAGAGACAAGGCCCUGUUCUGUCAAGGAUACAUUUGGUUCCUGGGCAAACGGCUCAGAUGGGAAAACCCUCAGUUCUCGCAGGUCCUUGCAAAAUGCUGCAAGAGCUUCAAGUCCAAUAUCCUCAAUGUAAUCCAGAACCUGCAUUCAUUUCCUUCAUUAGAUUAAAAACAAACCACCAACAGAAACUCAAUACUCAUAUCAAAAUCAAUAUCCAAAUUUGAUACCCAUAAAGUGUUUCUAGAACAGCGACUGAUGUUAUUCCACUACACGACUACGUGGAAAAUCAUCAAGACAAAUGGCAAAAUCUUAAUCAAACAUUUAAACUAAACUCCAUAUGGAAUUUAUAAUUUGUCAGAAACUGUUUUGAUUUAUUCCAGUAUUUUGUCAAGUGCAAAAAGAAAAGCACUCAGAUAUAGCAUCCUAGUGAAAAGUUAGAAGUUAGGAAGGUAAACUUACCCAUAGGCGCUGCAAACUUUGACACUGACUAACAAGCUUAGUAAGAUCAGUGCUUCGGAUAGUGGCAUAGCUCAAAUUCAGUGAUGUUAGGCUAGGGCAAAUAGGAUAAAUUGCCGGAAGGUAACCUGGGACCGCAUCCCAAAACCCAGAUAAACUUCUCAGUUCCUUGCCAGAAAAAGCUCCAGCUAGGCUUGAGAAGACAUCAGGCUGCAGCUCAGCUGAGUAGGUGCCUGUGCCCAACUCAACCAGCUGGGGCGCCCUGCAAAGAAUGUUAGCAAGCCUGUCAAGAGGCACAGCACGGUUGAGCCGAAGAGUCCUCAAAUUGGGGCACCGACCCACCAGGCGCUCUAGGGCCGAGAAACUCACCUCAGACCCUAAGCAGGAAAUGUUAAGAGAAACCAGUGAUGUGUACGAGUCAGGAAAGUGGCUCAACCAAUGCCCACUAAGAUCAUCCACCUCACUCUCCCGCAAAUCCAGCUCCUUCAGAUUCCUACGGACAAGUUGCUUAACGAAUAAAAACAAGGUCCAAGACACAGGAAUAUUCUAUGUUUCACAUACAAAAGCUGCAGUAACUCUUGUUCUACUAAGUUUAGCUAGAGAGUAUGAAACAAAUAAACUAAUAAAACAGAAAAUUUGUGAUGAAAUUUGUGGCCCAUCAUGUUGUAAUCAUUGAAAAUGACUAGACUGCCUUAUUAAAGUUACUUUCCUCCAUACACAUGCUCUCAAGAAAAGAACCAUUCACCCUUUACUAGUAUGGUCUACUAAGUCGGCCAAAAUUAUUGUAUUAUAAAGCAUACAUCACAAUUUAAAUUACACCAGGAUUUUAAUAACCCAAAAUAGACAUAGAAAAGGGGUAAAUAUAAAGGAGUUAUCCUUCUUAAAACAGUAGAAUAAAGUAAUGAAAAGAUUAUCUAGUUGAGGAAUCCAAAAGAAACCCACAUUGUACAAGAAGCAAGCAUCCAAAAUCUAGAACAACUGUCACACCAAGCCCAACCAUAACAAACAAAUUAGCAUAUGAAAAAAUAACAUAAGCGAUCUUGACUAGAUUUUCCAAAUUAUUAGUGAUUCAAAGAACAAGCACACCCCAGAUCUGACAGAAACAAACCCAAAUGGGAAGACAACCAAAGCAAGAAACAAAGUUUGAAAUAGCAAAUAUCGAAUUUCCAAAUCUAAAGACCAAACCAGGAAACUAAAUCCAAAUAAAGAUACUUAUGUAUUGUUUAGAAACCAAUCAUGGAAAAGUAUCAAAAACACAUUAAUAGAAACUGUCACUGAAUUCAGACUCCUCGGAGAAAGCCAUGUGCGCGCACAACCACAUAAAGAGAGGGAGAGGAUGUAUUAAAUGAAAGGGAAAAAACAUUGUAAGCCUCUCGAUUUGCAAACCAGGAAAUUGUUCAAACAAAUGUUGAAUUAAAAAAAAAUAAAAAAAGAAGAAGAA
rnacentral:misc_RNA from 1 species